rnacentral:lncRNA from 1 species
GUCAAACACAGGAACCAAUGUGACAGAUCCCGAGUCCCUGCAUUUAUAAUCUAUGCAUUUUCUUGUAUUUCGCUUAACACAGAAGCCAUAGCCAAAACCAGGCAGGCGACCACCACCUCCUAGUCAAAGUAUUUGCACAACUACCAUUACCUUAUAGACGAAAAAGGAAGAAACAGAGUGAGUUCUUUUUCUUAUCUGUUUUCCUCUUCUCUUCCAAAUUGUAUCAUGUCUAUUUGAAUAUGCUGCUCUUGGUACGAAUACUUUUACUGGAUCUGGAAAUUUCAUUGCCACAUUAUUUAUUUGUCAUCUUUUUUCAAUUUAUGCUUUUGGGUGGUUUCAAAUUCAGCUCUGGGUUUGUUUUAUAGCUUUGGUAUUGGGUUUCUAAGUCUGAAGGUUGGUUUCCUUUGUGGAAUUAUUUGAGGAUUUAUUUCGAUAAUAUGUUUUGUUUAUGGGUGCACAUAACUGGGUGGUUUUCUGGGUAGGCUUUUGACAUAUUAGGUUCAUUUAUUGGCACCUUAAAGAACUGAUAAGAGUAUGGAUUCUUUAAAGUUCCUUUUUUUCUUUCAUUUCAGAUUCAUUCCUGAUAAAAAUUUGUAAAAUUUCAUUUCUGUACACUAUAUUAUAUUUGUUCCUUUUCUUUGAAUGUUUUCAAUCAUGGCCUGCUGCUACCAGUAAUUGAAUCUGGUUCUGGUUGGUACUUGGCUGUCUGCUGCUGAGUAUGUGAUGUUAGGUUUUGUUUGAGUCCUCAGCCUUCUUUUCGUAUUGUCUCAUACUUCUGUAACUUUAGGAUUCAGUCUUAAGGAAGUUUUUAUGUGUAAUUCUUUUCUUUAUCUGUAGAUGUUUACUUUUGAUUGGACUCCUAUCUUUUUUUGUAUCUUAAUAAUCUUUGUUCUCCUUUCCAUUGUAAUCACAAAAGGUUCCUUCUUCACACAAACCACUUCUAUGGAGUUCAAUGCUUUUUGGGUCCAUAUUUUUGAAUUAAAUAUUCAUGUGUUUCCUUCUCUCAGCUCUUUGGCUUGUGCUUGUCUAUUAUAAAACCAUCAUCGUUUGAAACAUUCAAAUUGUUAAAAUGUUUCAGGUAUAAAUAUUUAUAAUAUGGAAGGUAUUGUAGUAAGAAGGGCUAUUCCCUCAGACAAUAGUUGCCUCUUCAAUGCGGUUGGGUAAGCU